rnacentral:rRNA from 1 species
UACGAAGGGGGCUAGCGUUGCUCGGAAUCACUGGGCGUAAAGCGCACGUAGGCGGAUUUCUAAGUCAGGGGUGAAAUCCUGGAGCUCAACUCCAGAACUGCCUUUGAUACUGGGAAUCUCGAGUCCGGGAGAGGUGAGUGGAACUGCGAGUGUAGAGGUGAAAUUCGUAGAUAUUCGCAAGAACACCAGUGGCGAAGGCGGCGAUCUGGGAAGAUACUGACGCUGAGACGCGAAAGCGUGGGGAGCGAACAGG